GGGCCUGUAGCUCAAUUGGUUAGAGCCGGCGGCUCAUAACCGCUUGGUUGGGGGUUCGAGUCCCUCCAGGCCCA
rnacentral:tRNA from 1 species